UAAUAGGCUCAUUGAGCAGAUGGUAAUUGC
rnacentral:piRNA from 1 species